rnacentral:tRNA from 1 species
GGGGGUGUAACUCAAUGGUAGAGUGUAUGCUUUGCAAGCAUAAAGUUAUUGGUUCAAGUCCGAUUACCUCCA